GUCAAUUUGAUAGUGGGAACAAAUAAUUGGAUGUCCUUUUUUAGGAGGGCUUAGUUUUUUGUACCCAGUUUAAGAAUACCUUUAUCAUGUGAUUCUAAAGUAUCCGGAGAAUAUCUGUAUGCUUUUGUAUGUCUAUGAGUUAUGCAUAAAAAAAUCCCAGUGAUAAGAG
rnacentral:ncRNA from 1 species